rnacentral:rRNA from 1 species
UUUCUGCUGCAUUACAUAUCUCUUGUUUGAGUUUGUUUUUGUGGCUUAUUUCGGUUUGAUUUUUUCUUUCCGGAUGAUUACUUUGAGAAAAUUAGAGUGCUCAAAGCAGGCUUUUGCCUUGAAUAGUUUAGCAUGGAAUAAUAAAGUAGGACUUUGGUUCUAUUUUGUUGGUUUUAGGUACCAAAGUAAUGGUUAAUAGGAACAGUUGGGGGCAUUCGUAUUUAACUGUCAGAGGUGAAAU